UAGAAUCAAGAAUCGGUCCAUUUGGUCCAAAUCUCAAUUCUGGUACUCAAAAUGGAAAAUUCGAGAAGAUCGAAGGUACGUAUUUAAAUUCUUUUACGCAAAUUCUCUCAUUAUUAGCAUGGUAUCAGUUCGAUUACAUAAUUUCAUUUUGAACUAAUACUUCAUUUACAAAAUUUCUAUGAAUUCUCAGUUUAUUUUAAUUUUCUCUGAAAUCGAACAAUACCUACUCACCGGCAUUGGGUUGGUGCGGUGUGGAUCCAAAGUAUGAAAUGUGAACCAUGAGAAGCAGGAAAUGUGUGCGAGGAUCUGACCCUUUUCAUUGUCACCUAACCACUCAACCGACACUUUUACGGCAAAUGCUGUAAUGUGUCAUUUUCUCCAAUUUAUCGCACUCUCUUUCUUACAAUAUGUUUAUUUAAUCAGUCA
rnacentral:lncRNA from 1 species